rnacentral:rRNA from 1 species
AUGGAUCCAGCAGAAGUGUUGACUGUCAGAUUCCACUUUGGGGGAGAGUUCAUACGGAUUGCUCCAUCGCUUGAUUAUGUGGGUGGAGAUAUUGGAAUGUCAGAUAUUGAGCGGGACAAGCUCUCUCUGCCAGAGCUGAAAGGCUUUUUAGGAGAUCAUAUGACAGUGAAGGAAAGCAUGAAGUUCCAUUUUUUGUUGCCUGGCAGGGAGUUGAUAAGCAGGGCUGCAGCAGCUAGAGCUUCAGCUGUACCAAGCUCUCAAGCUGCUGGAUCAAGCUUUCAAGCUGCAGGAUCAAGCUCUCAAGCUGCUGCAUCUACCUUCAGACCACCCAGAGUGACUAGAAGUUCAUCCGCUUCUGCUGGAGGGAGUGGGAAAGGAGUUGGAAGAGGGACAGGAUCUGGAAGAGGGAGAGGAGCUAGAGAAGGGACAGGAUUCAUGCCAUAUUUCACUGCUAGUGGGAAUUACUAG